AAAAAUAGGUUCCCGUACGAUCACCGAAGUUAAGCAACGUCGAGUCUGGUAAGUAUGGAUGGAUGGGUGAUCACUUGAGAAUACUAGGUGCUGUAAG